rnacentral:lncRNA from 1 species
GAAAAUUACAUGGUCAAAGUCAUUUUUGUUCUUCCUUUCAUCAUCUAAAUUAUGUGAUAUCCUAUAGAAAGAUGGAAAGUGAAGCUGGAGAUGCACAAAUUAAGAUAUAAGCCAACAACUUUUACAACAUUAGAUUUUAGGGAGGAUCAAAACUGAUGCACCAAUUGAUAUUAAACAACAAAGAUGAAUGCACCCGUAAAAUUUCCUAAUACAUGCAAAGAAUAAACUUACAAUUAUUCUAAAAAUAAGUCAAGUAGAGGAAUUCCCUGAAUGGCUUGCCUCGACAAACAGCCACAAAAUCAGCAGCUUCGUUCUUAUAGUAACUUUUGUGGAUUCAUUCCCAUUUCUUCAUUCCACUCGACAAAUCCAAUUGCAAUA